AGCUACAAUGAAGACACUGGCAAUAGUUUCUCAUUAUUCAUGGUAUACCCAAGUUGUAUUAUAGUCUCUAAGACAGAGUGAAUCGUCAUUAAUAGUCACUUAGUAAGCAAAUGAAUGGCACAUUCCAAAAAGUGUUCUUGUAGGCUUUAUCAAAGACUUCAAGUGAAGCAUGGUUUGAUGAAAGCACAAUUAAGCUUAUUUAAAUCAUGAU
rnacentral:lncRNA from 1 species